GGCGCGAUAGCAAAUCGGUUAUGCCCCGGAUUGCAAAUCCGGUUAGGCCGGUUCGACUCCGGCUCGCGCCU
rnacentral:tRNA from 1 species